rnacentral:sRNA from 1 species
GACCAAGAUCUGGACGGCGCCGGUGCACAU